CCUACCGGCGGCAGCAGUGAGGAAUAUUGGUCAAUGGACGAGAGUCUGAACCAGCCAAGUAGCGUGAAGGAUGACUGCCCUUUGGGUUGUAAACUUCUUUUAUAUGGGAAUAAAUUGUUCCACGUGUGGGAUUUUGUAUGUACCAUAUGAAUAAGGUUCGGCUAACUCCGGGCCAGCAGCGGCGGUAAUACGGAGGAGCCGAGAGUUGUCCGGAUUUAUUGGGUGUAAAGUGAGCGUAGGUGGAUUGGUAAGUCAGUUGUGAAAGUUUGCGGCUCAACCGUAAAAUUGCAGUUGAGACUGGGAGUCUUGAGUACAGGAGAGGUGGGCGGAAUUCGUGGUGUAGCGGUGAAAUGCUUAGAUAUCACGAAGAACACUGAUUGCGAAGGCAGUUCACUGGACUGCAACUGACGCUGAGGCUCGAAAGUGUGGGUAUCAAACAGGAUUAGAUACCCUGGUAGUC
rnacentral:rRNA from 1 species